GACGAACGCUGGCGGCGUGCCUAAUACAUGCAAGUCGAGCGCUCGGGCGUGGAACUUGUACCGCUGAUGUGAGCGGCGGACGGGUGAGUAACACGUGGAUAAUCUGCCUUUGAGCGGGGGAUAACUUCGGGAAACGGAUGCUAAUACCGCAUAAUAUCUUUAACCGCAUGGUUUAAAAUUGAAAGACGCUAUUGCUGCACUUAAUGAUGGGAUCCCGGUUGCUUUGGCUAGUGGGUAAGGUAACGGCUUACCAAGGGAACGUUCAAUGCCCGACCGGAGAGGGGGAUCGCCCACACGGGAACUGAGCCACGGUCCAGACUCCUACGGGAGGAAGCAGUAGGGAAUCUUCGGCAAUGGGCGAAAGCCUGACGGAGCAACGCCGCGUGAGUGAUGAAGGUCUUCGGAUCGUAAAACUCUGUUAUUGGGGAAAAACAUAUGUGUAAGUAAAUGUGCACAUAGUGACGGUACCUAAUCAGAAAGCCACGGCUAACUACGUG
rnacentral:rRNA from 1 species